UUUUAACAAGCCGUGUCAACCGAAUACUUUAUUCAUAAAUAUACAUAAAAUACCAACUAACAAAAACACCUAACCUAAUUAACUCCAACUCCAAACUACAGCUAACAAUGCAUUCAGUAAGCAUUAGUGAACGAUCAACAUAUAUAUGAUUCAUAAUCAUAUCUCAUAAGACAAACACUUUGGAACAUGGGACUGAAGUAAAACACCACAUCAAAAACAACCUCAACUACAUUUAAUUAACAACAUGAAGAAAAUGAUAGAAAAAGGACACCAUAGAGAAAGACAGAAUCGUAGAGGAACAUCUAGUUGAAUCAGUAUGAUGUAGAAUAGGGGUGUACGUUACUGUUAGACUUUGAGGACUUAGAAGGAGGUAGCAAAACCAUGUUGUGAGUUGAACCCUUUAUAAAAUCAGCAAAUUGAUUCCAUAUCAUUUGCUUCACAGAACGUUUCUUUGCAGGGAACACACUUCCAUUCUUGGAUUUGUGCCAUGACUCUGUUUCUUCUGUUUUCACCACUCUCUCCAUAUUAUUAUCACUUUCU
rnacentral:lncRNA from 1 species